rnacentral:rRNA from 1 species
AUUGAACGCUGGCGGCAGGCUUAACACAUGCAAGUCGAACGGUAACAUAAAGGAGCUUGCUUCUUUGAUGACGAGUGGCGGACGGGUGAGUAAUGCUUGGGAAUCUAGCUUAUGGAGGGGGAUAACUACGGGAAACUGUAGCUAAUACCGCGUAGAAUCGGGAGAUGAAAGUGUGGGACCUUCGGGCCACAUGCCAUAGGAUGAGCCCAAGUGGGAUUAGGUAGUUGGUGAGGUAAAGGCUCACCAAGCCGACGAUCUCUAGCCGGUCUGAGAGGAUGACCAGCCACACUGGGACUGAGACACGGCCCAGACUCCUACGGGAGGCAGCAGUGGGGAAUAUUGCGCAAUGGGGGCAACCCUGACGCAGCCAUGCCGCGUGAAUGAAGAAGGCCUUCGGGUUGUAAAGUUCUUUCGGUAGCGAGGAAGGCAUUUAGUUUAAUAGACUAGGUGAUUGACGUUAACUACAGAAGAAGCACCGGCUAACUCCGUG